AGCAGCAGUGGGGAAUAUUGCACAAUGGGGGAAAACCCUGAUGCAGCCAUGCCGCGUGUGUGAAGAAGGCCUUCGGGUUGUAAAGCACUUUCAGUAGGGAGGAAGGUAGUGUAGUUAACACCUGCAUUAUUUGACGUUACCUACAGAAGAAGCACCGGCUAACUCCGUGCCAGCAGCCGCGGUAAUACGGAGGGUGCGAGCGUUAAUCGGAAUUACUGGGCGUAAAGCGCAUGCAGGCGGCCUGUUAAGUCAGAUGUGAAAGCCCGGGGCUUAACCUCGGAAUUGCAUUUGAAACUGGCAGGCUAGAGUCUUGUAGAGGGGGGUAGGAAUUUCAGGUGUAGCGGUGAAAUGCGUAGAGAUCUGAAGGAAUACCAGUGGCGAAGGCGGCCCCCUGGACAAAGACUGACGCUCAGAUGCGAAAGCGUGGGGAGCAAACAGGAUUAGAUACCCUGGUAG
rnacentral:rRNA from 1 species